GAUUUCUUAAUAUGAACUGUAACCAGUAAAAUCUUUGAUAUUAUUGUAUGUUGCAUUCAUAUUUUCAUUCAGUUUAUAUGAUAUAAUGACAUUAACUGUACUGUAGUAUCUCUCAUGUGCAUCCAUUAAAACCCAUAAUUGUCAUAUAAAGCAGAGAUAAUGUGUGCAGGAUUAUAAUACAGUAUAGAUACAAAAUGCUCAGUUCACUCAAGUAACACGUUGCGUUCUAAACAGUAAUCUCACAUUGCACACAAUGACAUUACAGAUCCCAAUGACUGAUUAGUGUUGCAAAAUCGGAUGGAAAUGAACACAAACAUGACUUGACAUGACUUGCAGAUGAUAUCUCGAGCAGAACUUCUCAACAUCUCUGUUUAUAAGGCCUUACAUUUUGACUGAGAAGACACCUGAACUUUCUGAAUACUUUUUUAGGAAGGCAGAGAUUUGCAAGAAGAUCUGAACCAAUACCAGAUCCGUACCAGUGUCCAUCUGGGUUUUCUCGACCCAACCGUUACUGGAGCACUUGCUACCGUUUCGACAGCAGUUUGAAGUCAAUGUCGGCGGGAAAGAAUGCAUGCCGUCAAAGAGGUGGAUCCCUUGCUUCUAUCACCAACAGUAACGUGUACGAGUAUGCUCUUUCCCUGGUAGAAGAUGGAUAUAUCUGGGUUAAGGGGAGCCAUGCGUCUGAAUUUCCCCAGAAGAACUGGUUGAAAGGCUCUGUGCGUGACCAGAAUGGAAAGCAUGAGGGCUGCUUGACAUUGGUGAAAUUUGGUGAAAAAACUGGUUUUGAUGAUAUCAGCUGUUCCAGUAUGGACAACACCGCAUUCACUCUCUGCGAGAUAGAAACGUCUUAAUUCUUAGUUUAAGAAGGCCAAACAGAGAGUGGAUUUUGCCAAUACUCUCUGAUUUUCUUUUUCUACUAUCUCACUAAAUUGUUCUGAAUUUACUUUAAGUCUAAUACUUAGAGACAAUAUAAUGAAAAGGGAUGUAAUGGCUACAUAUUCAUACAUAAUGAUACAUUGAUUCAAUUGCAUUUCACGUGGCCUUUUUUCGACUGAAAAUAAUAGUCUGGUUUUGCAAUGGAAUUGUCACUGUAGUAUUCUGGAAGCUAUCUUUAAGAUACUGUACCAAACAUGUGGGUACGUACAAUCCCAUUUCAAGAUGAACUAUAUAAUUACGAACACAUACAGUUAUUCUCAAUACUUACUCUAACAGUGGAAAUAGGCUAUACCCCAUUAUAUCUGGAAUAUCUAUUGAAUUUGUGGAAUUGUUGUGUCAUGUACAUCCCUCCUUGCUUACCUUGCAUAUCUUUUCGAAUAAAAACAUUCAGCAUCACCCUGUCUCAGCAUGAUCAACUUAUAUCACUGUAAAAUAAACAACAUCAGUCAAUAGGGUCAUCUCAACCAGCAGCACUUAGAUAAAUAAUGAUAUCUCGGGCAGAACUUCUCCAAACCUCUGUUUAUAAGGCCCUACAUUUUGAAUGAGAAGACACCUGAACUUUCUGAAGACUAUUUUAGGAAGGCAGAGGUCAUCUUCUCUCUGCUGACUUCGAACUGCAGUGAGACCACCAGAGCACCACCAUUGUCCAGGUCAUCAUGGGAGUUAUGACUGUAUAUGUUCUUCUCUGCGUCCUCUUCACCUUCCUGGGGACUGAGGGAGGUCUCCACCAGGGUAUCUGCGAUUAGCUGCACCAGUGGAGAGAUUUGCCAGAAGGCCCCCACCAUGGCCAAAUCAGAACCCAUGUCCUCCAGGGUUUUCUCGACCCAACCGUUACUUGCGAACAUGCUAGCUUUUCGACAACAGCUAUUCCUUAUUCCUGGAGUACUCUAAUUUCAUAUUUAUUUUUAUUAGUCAAGGACCUUAGGUACUACUGACCACCAAGUAGAUGCUGACGUUGACUUUUCCCUUUUCUCCCUGACAGUCUGGAUUUCCCCAGAAGAACUGGAUGAGAGGUUCUCAGCGUAACAUGAAUGGACAGAGUGAGGACUGCUUGGCACUGCUGAAAAUCAAUGGUGAAGCAGGCUUUGAUGACAUGAGCUGUUCCGGAAUCGUCACCUCUGCCAAAACUCUCUGCAAGAUUCAUACUUCAAUGGACUGACUUUCGUAGGAGUCCAAACAGAGAGUGGAAAAGGGGUUUUGCCAACUCUCUGAUUUUCUUUUUCUAGUAUCGCACAAAAUUGUUCUGAGUUUGAUUUAAGUUGAGUACAAUAUAAUGAAAGGUGACGCAAUGGCUACAGAUACAUACACAAUGAUACAUUGAUUCAAUUGUAUUUUUGAAAGCAGAGUAAACACUUGAGUAAACAAGGGAUACAAAGAAUAUUUGAAAGCACGUGCUUCCACACAGGUGUGGUUCCUGAGUUAAUUAAGCAAUUAACAUCCCAUCAUGGUUAGGGUCAUGUAUAAAAUGCUGGGCAGGCCAUUAUUUUGGCUACCAUGGUUAUGCCCCCAUAGAAUCCACAGGGCACGAAUGGUCACUGAAUCGUUUGAUGAACAUGAAAUCGAUAUAAACCAUAUGUCAUGGCCGUCUCAGUCAAUAGAUCUCAACGCAACUGAACACUUAUUGGAGAUUUGGGAGCGUUGCCUGAGUCAGCAUUUUCCACCACCAUCAACAAAACACAAACUGAUGUAAAUUCUCGUGGAAGAAUGAUUUCGCAUCCCUCCAAUAGAGUUCCAGACACUUGUAGAAUCUAUGCCAAGGUGCAUUGAAGCUCAUGAUUGCUCGUGGUGGUCCAACACCCUGUUAAGAUACUUUAUGUAGGUGUUUCCUUUACUUGGACAGUUACCUUUCAAUACAUAAUGAUACUUUGAUUCAAUUAUAUUUUGGGUGGUCUUUUUUUUAUUGAAAAUUAUUGUCAGGUUUUGCAAUGGAAUUGUCCCUAUACAGAUGUGGCAUCUGAAUUUGAUCAUUAUUUUCUUGCUGAGGAAAUGCAACUUGUUGUGCAUACAAGGUUUUUAAAGGCUUUUAAAAUUUGCAAUUUCCAUUUUAAAAUGUCAGACUUGAUUAGCCCUAAAAAAUAUGUAUCAACCCCUACAAAAAAUGGCCAUGAAUUAUAAUCCACAUAAUAAUUCACAUUUCCUGUUGCUUCAGGAUCAUUUUCUGUAACAUACUGUAACAUACUGGCUCAAAUUAAGAUCUUACAUCAGUGUCACGUUCUGACCAGUAAAGGGGUUAUUUGUUAUUGUAGUUUGGUCAGGAUGUGGCAGGGGGUAUUUGUUUUAUGUGGUUCGGGGUGUGUGUUUAUGUAGAGGGGUGUUUGGUUAGUGUUUUCCGGGUUUUUGGGGCUAUGUUCUAGUCUAGUCUUUUUAGUUCUAUGUUUAGUUAAUUGAUUUGGCCUUCAAUUGGAGGCAGCUGCUCCACAUUGCCUCUGAUUGAAGGUCCUAUAUAGAGGGGUGUGUUUUGUAUGGGUUUUGUGGGAAGUUGUGAUUGCAUAGCUGUGUUUAGCCUGUAAUCCUGUUCGUUCGUACGUUUUGUUUUCUUAAGUGUUCAAAAUAAAUAUAUAAUGAGCACUCAACUCGUUGCGCUUUGGUCCACUUACUAUGACGACCGUUACAAUCAGAAUUCUGGAAGUGAUCGUUAAGAUUC
rnacentral:lncRNA from 1 species